CCGGCGAGGGGAAGAGGGGAGUUGUCGCUGGCCUUUUACNNGGCAUGUGCACGCUCUCCUUCGAACCCGAGCCUUAUGGGCGCGGGGCGACCCGCGUCUUCAUAUACCUCUUCGUGUAGAAAGUCUUUGAAUGUUUAUACUAUCAUCGAGUCGCGACUUCUAGGAGACGCGGUUCUUUGAGACAAAAGUUAUUACAACUUUCAGCAAUGGAUCUCUUGGCUCUCGCAUCGAUGAAGAACGCAGCGAAUCGCGAUAUGUAAUGUGAAUUGCAGAUCUACAGUGAAUCAUCGAAUCUUUGAACGCACCUUGCGCUCCUCGGUGUUCCGAGGAGCAUGCCUGUUUGAGCGUCAGUAAAUUCUCAACCCCUCUCGAUUUGCUUCGAUAGGGUGCUUGGAUACUGGGGGCUGCCGGAGACCUGGACGAAAGUCUAGGACUCGGGCUCUCCUUAAAUGAAUCGGCUUGCGGUCGACUUUCGACUAUGCAUGACAAGGCUUUUGGCGUGAUAAUGAUCGCCGCUCGCCGAAGUGCAUGAAUGAAUGGUUCCGUGCCUCUAAUGCGUCGACGCCUUUUUGGCGUCUUCCUUAUUGACUUUUGACCUCAAAUCAGGUAGGACUACCCGCUGAACUUAAGCAUAUCAAU
rnacentral:misc_RNA from 1 species